CACCAAUCAUCCAAAAGAUAAGUCGGGGGCCAUGGCCUGGCGAUGGGAGUGUAGCAGGUUGGGAGUUCUUGGGGCAGAGUUAAAAACCAGCAGAGGGAAAAGCAUUCUUCUCCAAGGGCCUGUUAGGACAGCUAAAGGGAGAGGCUCUUCUUUUGAUGGCAGCUUUCAGGCGGGCAGUGCAGAACAGCUCCGGUCUGUGUCCUGUUGUCUGGUGUGCUGUGUUCCCUAGUGUGUCUUUGGGGUCCCUUUUGCCCUCUUCCCUCGAUGCCCUCACCACAAGCAUGAUGUGUUGUGUUUGGUGUCCCCCUGUUUGUCACGUUCUGUGUCACGGGUGUCUGCAGGUAUUUGUGCCGGAGCUGUUCUGCCCUGCUGCAUGGCGUGCUUCAGUAGGACAAACCCUGGGGAGUUGAAAUUUGUAAUGUGGGCUGUACUUGGGCUCUAGGUGCUAUUCCUAGGUUUACAUAAGGUGUUUCCAGCUUGAAAGUUAAAGUUAUUGUGGAGGUGUGUGACAUAUGUUCUAACUUUCUUUCAGGUGUGGAUGCAUUGCAUCCAUGGCAGAGGGUCAGGGUUAGGAGGUGCUGGGCAUUCCUAGGAGCAUAGUGAGUAGCAGAGUGGUGGGGUUUUGGCCGAUGCGGUGCCAAGGUCAGGCACUGAUGUUUGGUUCUCUUUAAUCUAGCUGUCUGAGGGACACCAGCCCGGUGCCAGCAGGACCUUCCCAGGUGACGAGGUGGCCUUUCUUUGCACCUGACACAGGCAUCCCCUGAUGUCUGAGAGAUAAGCAGAGGGCUGCAACCCUCAGAGGGGAUGAACGUGGGGUGCUUUUUCAGGACUCCCUGAGGUGGGGGUCUGAGUUGGCUCUGGCAAUGAGGUUAGCCAAGAUGUUGCCCCUUAGGCCCCAUAAAAGCAAAGUCUCCCUUUUGGUCACAGUGCUGAGGUGCGCAGCAUGGCAGAGCAGUCCCGGUGUGUCUCGUGUCACUUGUCUUUUGUGUAUUGUGUGUUGCCUGGAUAUCUCAUGUCUCUUAUCUUAGCCCUGUGAGGGGCCUCUCAGAAACCUUUCCUAGCAUCCGUGAUCUCAGCGUUCCUCGCCCUGGCACCCAUGCCAUAGAUCUUUUGACUUGGGAGCUCACACAGGCAGCAGAAAUGCAUCUCUCUUUAGAAGCGUCCAGUCAGAUGUCUUGUCAUGUCUUGUUCUGAGCUGUACGGACAACCGUGCUGCGCAAUGAUCCAUUAUAGCAGAGUAGGACUUGUAAGGAUGUGAGGUUAGGGAGAGGAUUCUGACUGUAGGAUUCUCGGGCAUCCAUCUUUGCAGUUUUUGGAAUAAAUCAUUCUGUUUGCAUCUUCUUCCUCCAGGGUUCUCUGAGCCUCAUCAGCUCGCCAUCAGCUUCAACUCUUCUUCUUUUGCAUUCUCUCAGUCCUUGCAGCCAUUUUCCUUGCUAAGAGAUUUCCGUUCCUGUUGUGUCCCCAGUGUUUGUCACGUCUUGUCUGUCCUGUGUCACGGGUGUCUGCACACAUUUGUGCUGGAGCUGCUGUUCUGCCCUGCUGCAUAUCCUGGUGCAAUAUGAGAAGUCUCAGGGACUUGGAAUUUGUAAUGUGUAGUUGGAUUCUAGAUGGGAUUUGUAGAUGGACACAGGAUACGUGGAGCCCAUAAGUUAUCCUGCAGCCCUUUCACUUUCAUCCUAACUUUCUUUUAGUUGCAGAAGGAUAAAUCCAGGGCAGAGCCCCCCAUUCUGGGUGAGGGGAUUCCCCUGUGAAGGUCAGUCACUGUUUGUCUCUGCAGAGGAAGCAUAAAUUGUGGCUGCUGCAGCUCUGCUCUUUGUCUUUAUUUUUAGGAAGUCAAGGCAGAGAGCAGCUGUCAAGGCUGAGUGGGCAAGAUGGACUGCUUGCCAUCUAUCCUAGCCCAGCAUGCCCAUGCCAGGUGCUGUCGCUGCCCUAGGCAUGCCGGGGAAGAGAGGAGGGCAGGUGACUCGGAGUUUAGGCGGGCUGAUUCCUAGGUGAGUGUUAUGCAGCAGCAUGCUAAGUGUGUACAUUUUCUUUUUGCAGGUAUCUUCCGGGCGGCCUCUGGAGUCAAAUCAAGACUUGAGGUACCCUGGGCAGGCUUGUAGCCACAGCUUGGAAGCGGCAGCACCGAAGCGCACACAUUGAGAACGUCUCAACGUCCACGUCCGACCGAGGAUGGAUUUUGUCUGCUUGUCUUCCAAAAGCUAAGUGUCGGGGCCAGUGGUUGGGAGAAGGGGAAAAGCCUUUACUAUCACAGGAGGCAAUCUGAUGUCAGCUUAGCAGAGAGGUCUGUAGUGGGACAGGCUCCCUGGAAGUAAAGGGAGAGGGUUUCUCCUCAGCCUCACCAGAGCCUUUGCCGGGCAGGGCAAUUCCUACCCAUCUCCACAUUCUCGUGAACUUUGUGUCAUCAGCCUUCUUCGACUUGACGUCGUCACGGCUCUUUCCCCCGUGGAGCUCGCCUUCAGGUCCGGAGCUGUAGCUGCAGUCACCUGGCAGUCCGCUUCCUUCUCUAGGCUUGCUGAGCCUCUCGAGCAUCCUCCUAACUGCUUUGGCCCUAACUUCCUUUAAUGAGUUGCAUUUCAUCAUCACGUGCUGUUGUCAUAGGGCUUCCUUUCCCUUGGCCUCAUUGGCCUCUGGCUCGUCUUGUGCUAGGACUCUCGGGUCCCUAAAGGGAAAGUGCCAAGCAGUUGCAACUUGUCUCUGUGUUAUGUCAUCUGUGUCUAUGUUAUGGUGUGUGUGUCCAUUGUCUUCCACGGCAUAGGCCUUUGUUACAUCUCAAUGCUUUAUCGGCUCUCUUCUGUGCCAUGUUCUACUCACAUUCCUUGCCGGAUAUCCCUUAUUCCAGCAUCUUUACAUUUUUACUCUUUGAGACAGGAAUGUCUCACAGGGACAAGAUGUUCUCAUCCAUCUUCCUUCUCACUAUCAGCUUUGGUAGUGCUUUUUUUUCUUGGACUUCUAGAGGGAGCAUCUUACACCCUCCUCACGUGACUGCAGUAGUUCUAUAGGUUCCAUCUUCUCAAAGGGUACAGGGCUCAAUAAGUAAUCUUCCAGAGAGUUUUCUUAAGUCGUGGUUUAUAUUGUAUGUUCCUAUGUUGGCUUAUAUUGUAUGUACUUACAUACAGUAUAAGUACGUACAGUAUAAGCCAGCAUAGGUACAUGCAAUGUAAGUGCAUUGCCUUAUAUUGUCUGUACUUACACUGCAUGUAAGCAUGUCGCCUUAUAUUGUGUGUACUUACACUCUGUGUACACUUGCACUGUAUGCGUCAGCUUACAUUGUGUGUAGACUGUACCACUUAUGAUCGGAGCUGCCCUGCCCUGGCACAUAGUCACAGUUAGGUAGAACAGUUAUAACAACUUUACUGUUCAUCUGUCUUUUGUGGGAUUUUGGGUAGAAAAUUCAUCAGUCCAGAGUGGGGACAAGUCCUAGCUGUCAGAUAGCCACUUGUUGACCCUUCCUGUUGUCUCACAGGUCCCCGAGGCUGCUGAUUUCCCCAGGAUCUGCCAUUUAGCCCAAGGAGCGGCAGCCAGAAGAUGUGUCAAAGCACCUUCUUCAGCAUCUCAGGGAAGGGCCACAGUGAGCGUGUUUUGCAACUCAUUGUUAAAUUGAGAAUAAAAAAUCCCCAGCUGCCUUCCA